UCUGGUAAUGAUGGCAGAGAGGUCACACCCGUUCCCAUACCGAACACGGAAGUUAAGCUCUCUAGCGCCGAUGGUAGUUGGGACCUUGUCCCUG
rnacentral:rRNA from 5 species